GAUGAAGAACGUAGCCAACUGCGAUAAGUAGUGUGAACUGCAGAAACCUUGAACACAGAACAUUCGAAUGCACAUUGCGCCAUCGGAGUUACACCCUUUGGCACGUCUGGUUCAGGGUCGUUUUCCUAGAACGCACAACGAAUGCGUGUGGUUUUGAAUGGCAGCAAAUCAGUUGCGAGACCAAGCGACUGUUGUUGCUUACGUGGAAUGUGUAGAGGAACGAGAAGACGGGUGAUGCCGACACGGAAUUGUCUGACUCAAAUAGUCUUUCCGUGUCUUACGCUCCGUAACCAGGGCAUUCACCCUCUCAUCAAUUCUCUUGAGUACGAUGACGAACUAUCGACCUGAACUCAGUCGUGAGUACCCGCUGAACUUAAGCAUAUCAAUAAGCGGAGGA
rnacentral:misc_RNA from 1 species